AGUGAACGCUGGCGGUAGGCCUAACACAUGCAAGUCGAACGGCAGCACAGUAAGAGCUUGCUUUUCCGGGUGGCGAGUGGCGGCCGAGUGAGGAAUACAUCGGACUCUACUUUUUCGUGGGGGAUUCCGUAGGGCAACUUACGCUAAUACCGCAUACGACCUACGGGUGAAAGCAGGGGAUCUUCGGACCCUGCGCGAUUGAAUGCGCCGAUGUCGGAUUAGCUAGUUGGCGGGGUAAAGGCCCACCAAGCCGACGGUCCGUAGCUGGUCUGAGAGGAUGAUCUGCCCCCCUGGAACGGAGCCACGGUCCAGACCCCUACGGGAGUGAGCAGUGGGGAAUUUUGGACAAUGGGCGCAAGCCUGAUCCAGCCCUACCGCGUGGGUGAAGAAGUCCCCCGCGUUGUAAAGCCCUUUUGUUGGGAAAGAAAAGCAGCAGGUUAAUACCCCGCUGUUCUGACGGUACCCAAAGAAUAAGCACCGGCUAACUUCGUG
rnacentral:rRNA from 1 species